GCCCGCUUGGCUUAGUGGUACAGCGUCUCACUCGUAAGCACGCCUGCGUCGCAGAGUCUCUACGGUCAUGAGAAGAUCCUCGGUUCGAUUCCGAGAGUGGGCA